rnacentral:rRNA from 1 species
UACAGAGGUCCCAAGCGUUGUUCGGAUUCACUGGGCGUAAAGGGUGCGUAGGUGGUGAGGUAAGUCUGAUGUGAAAUCUCCGAGCUUAACUCGGAAAUGGCAUUGGAAACUACUUUACUAGAGGGUUGGAGGGGAGACUGGAAUUCUUGGUGUAGCAGUGAAAUGCGUAGAUAUCAAGAGGAACACCAGUGGCGAAAGCGAGUCUCUGGACAACACCUGACACUGAGGCACGAAAGCUAGGGGAGCAAACAGG